GUCCAGAUGAGGAGUCCCAAAUAGGACGAAAUGCGUAUCCUGGAU
rnacentral:hammerhead_ribozyme from 1 species